rnacentral:sRNA from 1 species
UAGAGGAGGCGCUAGAAAGUUUUCUACCGAUCCUAGAGACUUCUAGGAUCGGUAGAAAACUUUCUAGCGCAACCCUAAAAGUACU